GUGCUCGCUUCGGCAACACAUAUACUAAAAUUGGAACGUUACAGAGAAGAUUAGCAUGGCCCCUGUGCAAGGAUUAUUUCUCCAUCAAUUCUCCAAUCCCUAGUCUG